rnacentral:rRNA from 1 species
CAGCCGCCGCGGUAAUACGUAGGGUGCAAGCGUUAAUCGGAAUUACUGGGCGUAAAGCGUGCGCAGGCGGUUAUAUAAGUCAGAUGUGAAAUCCCCGGGCUCAACCUGGGACCUGCAUUUGUGACUGUAUAGCUAGAGUACGGUAGAGGGGGAUGGAAUUCCGCGUGUAGCAGUGAAAUGCGUAGAUAUGCGGAGGAACACCGAUGGCGAAGGCAAUCCCCUGGACCUGUACUGACGCUCAUGCACGAAAGCGUGGGGAGCAAACAGGAUUAGAUACCCCGGUAGUCCCUGUCUCUUAUAC